ACCUCAAGCAACCUGCCCACCUCAGCCUCCCAAAGUGCUGGGAUUACAGGCCUGAGCCACUGCGCCACUAGUGGAAAAUAUUAACCUCUUUACCUCCAUGUACAUCUUAAGAUGAAUGGAAACUAGCUGUCUCUUUUAUAGGCAUGAGAAGUUGUUCCAGUGACCUUUUUGAAUGGUCAGAUAGAAGCAGUUGUGUAUCAUCUAAACUUGUGCUUGCAUCUAUGUGGUCUGUCUGAAUGCAAAAUCUUUAUUUUCUGCUAUGUUUUUAUUCUUGCUCAUUCACAUGGAUUAGGUUGCUCAAAGACUGGAGCCAAUAUGAUAUAUUCCUUAUAGCACCUGGCACAUUGCUUGAUAUAAACACAAUAGAUGCUUAAUGGUAGACGCUAUUUGAGUUUUUGGUUUACUACAUACCUGAUUAUAGUGUAGACUUUAUUUAUAACUUUGAACUGUUAACACAUUCAAAGUGUAAAGCAAGCCCUGCCCACAACAAUUUCUAUAGUCAGUUGCCCGUGAUAAUUUGGGUCUAUAAAACUAAACUAGAAACAUGCUAAGUUAAAAUCAGUUUGUUAUUAGACAUUAGUUACCUACCGAACAUUCUGUAAUUUCAUGUUUAAAAUCUGUUUUCCCUAUUCUGUUUUAAUUAUGUGUGUGUAAUAUAUGAUGCUAGCCAUUAUAUCCAUAAAUGGAUAAAAAUUUUCCCUUGGCUGCUGCUCAUCCCCAGAGAAGGAACAUGUGGGAACUUUAAUUUUUAUGAUUAGUACAUUCUUUUACAUGUUUUGUUGAAACAGAAAAUCUUAAUCUUUUCUAAAUGGUUUUAGAUUUGUAGAGAGCAAAAUUGUUCUGAAUGCUCUUUGAUGAGAUAAUUUAUGUAAAUAGAUACCCAUGGAAGGUAAUGACAUGGAUUAGGAGCAUAGAACCUGCCAAUACUGCCCUUUAUCUCAGUGGUGGGCAGCCCUAGGUGUUCCUUAUAGUACGCUCUAGAAUUUCCGAAAGUACAGAUGGCCUGGCUCUACCUGGGUCCUACUAAUGCAGCACCAGGGGCUGGUAGGGAAGCUAAUCUGUAUUUUGAAAGUGUUAUGCAAGAACUUCUGAAGCUAAGGUUGAGAAGCUUUGCUGUUUUGGGGAGAUAUACUCUGGUUGUCUUAUUGGGAUGUCUGACAUAAUGAUAUAUUUUUGGUACUCAAUUUCAUUUAAAACUGCUUUAGUUUCUUACUUGUUGUCUGGCCAUGGUGAAACCUCUGAUUUUUCUGGGCUUCAGUUUUUUCAGUUGAAAAAUUCAGAGUAGUUAGAUUCAGGUUCAUUUGGGUUCUGUGAGUCUAGGGAUCUGAACCCCCAUGGAACUUUUAUAUCAAAUUUCAUUCUCACUCCAUGCAUAUCAUGUAGAGAAAAAUCCAGGUAGUUAAUAUCAACACUUAAACAUUUAUGAGGGUUUGAGAAAAUUCUUUACGGGUUGCUACUGGAAUUAGGGUAACCAAAUUUAAUUGUCAGUGAUGUGGUGUAGGAAAGAAACCCUUUUUAUCUACUUUCUAAUUCAGACCGGCACUCAUCUCAAAGUCAAUAAAUAUUAGAAGAGAGAGAAGAGACAAGACAGAUGAAAUUUGACCUUGGUAGAAAUGAUUUAUUCAGCAGCGAUGAAGGAACCAGUGUUCAUCAGAGGUUAUGAUCUCCCGGGGUUGUCAUUUUGGAAGUGGCAGAGUCAGACAUCCACCUGGUCCCUGACCCAUGGCCAUGUGCAACUGCCACAGCACCUCAUUUCUUCUGAUUCUCCUGGGAGGGGUAUGGUAGAGAGGGCCGUGUUUUAAAUAGUAGAUUCCUUUCUGACUCUUCACAAUUAGAGACAUGGAACACUUUUGGCCUCCAUGAUGUCAUUCUAUCUCAUUUCUAAGGUUAUUGGUUAACAGGCUUUCCUACAUUGGAAUAUAUAUCAGGGUAAGCCUUUUGUCUCUGUAUUAUAGAGAUUUGGUGUGUACAUCCAGCUAUAAAACUAACUCCAGAAGACAACACAAUAAAAAAAGUUAUUUUUAGUGCCUUGAUUUUGAGUUUUCUCACAUUCUUUUUAAUUUUACAAAAAGGCAAUAUCCUUUGUUAUACUAUUUAUUGAGCAUUUGGUUCUUCUAGGAUAUGUGCACAGACACAUUUGAGUAGAGCAUUUGUAAAACAAUAACCGUUAAUUACAUGAAGUGAAAAGGAGAGGGUUUUCCUCUGAAACAUUUUCUAGUUCAGUAGGUUUGGCCACAGGUAUAAUUUUAAGUGACCUGCAGUGCAGCACCUGCCAUGCACCUAUCACAUGCUUCAGUGCUCAUAGAGUUAGGGUGUCAUCAGCCUGCUUUGGGAUUAGUAAUAAUAAUUGUAGUUGUGGUAUUUAUUGAGUUCAAACAUAUUGUAUAUCUGAUCUAUAUGUUAACUCCUUUAAUCCUUACAACAGUGCUAUGAGGUAGAUAAUAGUACUGUUCUUAUUUUGUAGAUGAGGAAAAUGAGCAUAUAGAGGCAAAUUAGCUUGCCCAAGAUCCUUGGCUAGUGAGUCACAAAACAAGGACUUGAACCCAGGUUUGAUUCUAGAGCCUAUUCCUUUAUCCACUGUGCUGUUCUCUCCUUCUCUUGUAGGUGUAGGGAUCCUGUGAGAAAAGACUUGCCAAACCAAAUGUCUUUUCUUACGCUUUCAUACGGCUUUAGUGAUAAUCAUGUGUCAGUAUUACUCUGGUCUCCUAUGGGUUUUGGCUAGGUGGUAGCAGUCCUGUGUACCAACAACUGGGCUGUUAAGAAAUUCACAUAUUACAGUGACACUGUUAGUAGAUGUAUUUGAUUCUUAGAGAGCAGAUUAACUCCCCAGGGAAAUUUGGGAAGGCUCCUGCCAAGGACACUGCCACAUAUGAAUGUGUAUUCCUCAGUUGUGUAGUAGAAAAAGCAGAUGCCUGAAAUGUUUUUUAGAAUUUCCUUGGUGGUUCUAGAUCUCUUCCUGUGAAAACCAGUGAUAAUAACAUUUGUCUUUCCUAAAACCUUGUGAAUAGGAAAGCUCCAUAAUAGAUAAGUAAGCAUUUAACAGGUAUCAUCUCAUUUCAUCCUCACAACAGCCUUCUCUUGUUAUUUCUACUUUACAGAUGAAAUAGCUGAGGCUUAAUGCCAGUAGAUGCACUGCCCAGGGUCAGGUGGCUAAAUAACAAGGGUGCUGACUCACACCUGAGUCCGUCUGACUCCAAAGCAGACACAUUGUCAUUUUUUGUUGUUGUUGUUUUCAAGAUAGGGCAGGUCUGAAGAACAGAGCUCUCCCCUCCCUUAAAAACAAUGUGACAACAUUCCUUGAGCAGCAUGUGCUAAUCUCCAAGGAUUUAGAGGAUGUGCUGUCAGUGACUUCAGUUUUUCUAGUGGUUUAGCACGCCAACAGAGUUUUCUUUUUCCAUUCUCUCGUGUAUGCGUUCCAAUACUAAAACCAGAUGGAAAUAAAGGAAAACUCUUAACAGAGGCUAGUGCCAAAUAUUUCAUUUAAAAAGGAAACUCCAUCUGUGUGCUCUCCCACCACACAGCCCACUGUUAAGAACAGGAGUUUCACAGCUCACUCACUUAUGUUAAUUUUGAUUAGUUUUGACUACUUGCAAAGGUAGAGCAAGUGGUGGUUAGGGAGAUUGCAAACUAAGGCAGCUCUCCUUCUGGCAUGUGGCUGGCAAGGCACUGUGUACCUGGCAGACAUCCUAAACAGCAGCCUACCAAGAAGGCAGUUUUAAAGCACAUAGAUGCAUUCUUUGGGUGAUUUUCUAGGUUAACACUUUUAGAAGUGAGUGCGCCUGGCUGUGUAGUGAGGCUUUUGUUUGUCAGUAAGUUGUAGUCAGAGGCACCUAUUGCUCCCUGGGAGAAUUCCCACUCCAGAUAUAGGAGAACACAGGCUUAGGCAGAAAGCUGACUUAUGGUAAAAUGCUGACUGUACUAGCUCUGUCAUGUCUUUGAAAUUCAGUUUUCUCAUCAAUAAAAUGGCUAUAAUACCUACAUCCCUGCGUUAAAUUAAGAGGUAUUUUGAAGAAUAACUGAACUGUAUGUGUGUGUGUGAUGCAUGAUACAUGGAAGAUAUUCAGCUUUAUGAGCAAUACUAUUAUUGUUAAUGGUAUACUCACUGGUUCUUGCAAGAUAAAGAUUGUUCACCUAUAGCUUUUUAAAAACAUGUUAAUGACCAAAUACCACUGGUACCUGCUCAAACCUACUGAAAUUAAAAAAAAAAAAAUAAUCUAAUCAUAAAGUCGGAUUCUCAGGAACAGACAUUUAUAAAACAACAGCAAAAAGAAAAAAAAACAUGUUAAUGUAUAUGUAUGACAGGCAUCCAUGACCCAUGUCAUGUGAAGCAAAAUCACACGAUAACCCAGACUUGGCGUUGGGGGUUUUCUCCCUCUCCUUCCACACCUUUUUCCCCCUUUCCCUCUCCAGUUUGCAUCCUCUCCAUUCUGUGUCCCACUCCUGACAGAAGUCUUAAGAUCAUUCUGACCUGCCAUUUUAAACCAGUCUACUCUUGAUUCACUAGAUUCCAACAUUGCUUUUCCCCAAAGCUAGAAUAUUUGGUGGCAUCACACUGCUGUUCUAUUUCAGAGUUUGAAAUUUUCCACUCUGAUAUCAUAAAUAUUUGCACAGUACUGGGUAUAUGGGAUGCAGAGGCUCUUUGUGUUUAGGCCUCUUUCUCCAGCUUUGCAGGGAGUUAGAACUGGGUUAGUCAAUCGAGGUCCUGUCCCUGAAAUGUGAGAUGUUAUUUUCCUACACCUAUCUUUACUGGAUCAAAAGAAAAAUUAAAACAAAAUAAAACAAAACGUUCUCUGAGGUCAGUCAAGUUCACUGUUAAGCAAACAUCAGAAGUGGGAGAGGCUGAUACAAAUGCCUGUGGACCUGGAUUCUCAGCCCAGAUCAAGUUAUUGUUUCUCCAACACUUUCCUGUUACCCUUCCUUUAUACAUACACACACACACACACACACACACACACACACACACACACAGGGAGAGAGAGAGAGAGGGAGAGGGAGAGAGAGAACUGUACUAGCUCUGUCAUGUAUUUGAAACUCAGUUUUCUCAUCUAUAAAAUGGCAAUAAGUUCACAGGGUAUUUUGAGGAGUAACUGAACUAUAUGCGUAUAUGUAAUGCCUGAUACAUAGAAGGUACUUAUCUUCCAUGAAGAAGACACAGGGAGGGGGAGAGAAUACGAAUGACUGACAUUUCCAUCUCAGUUCCAGUCAUGCUAAACCAUAUGCGGAAUUUUCCAGAAGAAACUAAUAACCACAAGCACAAUGAGGUUGCCAAGCUGUCCAGUACCAUAGUAGAUGACCAGGUAGUUACUGUGCUCUGAGCAUGAACAUGUGCCUCCUCCGACCUCUCAUGUCUUCUCUGUAAUAGCACUUAGCAUUGCUGGGCUUUGUCACUUGGCUUUCUGUUUACUUCUGUAGACUGUCAGCCUCUAGAGAGUGGAGACUGUUGUAGAUACCUCCUUUCUUCCCAGUGGUCUGAUCAGAGCCUCCUAGUGGAAGAAAUGAAGCUCCUGGGCAGGGGGAAUUGGGCAUAAUCUCACUCCUGCUCUGUCUAUAAGAGCUGACACUGCCUGAGCUCUGGGCUCACUUUCUGUGUUUGAGCUCCAGGGUGAGCUCACACAUUCACUCUGGGUUAUAGUGGCUGGUACUUGUUUUGGCUUUUUUUUUUUUUUUUUUUUUUAGAAACUUGCUGUUAUUCACACUAAGAUGCUACUGGGUGGUCUUUUAAUUCCCUUGGAAUGCAUCAGGUUACUGAGCAGAAGAUUUUGUUCUACCUAUUGGACCAAUUACCAAUAAGAAAAUGCAUAUUUCUCUGAUACUUUCAGACUUUUAGAAUCAUUCAAAAUGAGCAAUUGUGGCCUACAAUGGAAGGCUGUUAUCUCAGAAUUUUGAAGUACCUGAGUGUUUCUCUUGAAGAAAGAGUUCAUUUUAUGCAGUAAUAAGUAAUUUAAUGGGCAUUGAAUAUAUCAAAACUUUCCUCAGAUGUUCUUUUCUCAUUGUAUCAUUUUCAAUUCUAUAUUUCCUUAAAGAGGGCUUUCCAGAGAAAAAUGGAAACUGGAUUCUUGUUUUUUAGUUUUAACCUCUCUGAGGAUUUUCAUACCGUCUCACCUCCACCCUAUUCACACAAAUUAUUCCUCAUCCAACUUGUGUGGAUCCCAUGUGGCUGAUGUAGACCUCAUGCUACUCUGUGUUUCAAUGUAAUUUCUAUCAGAUUAACAAGUACACUUCUCCGAGAAGCCAAUAGGGUUUUGACAAAUGGAUUCGAGAUAUCAAGAAUAUGCUCAGCCUUGAUGCUUUGGGAUAUAAGUUUUUAUCUUCCUGAAAGGAAGCAUUAGCUGCCCUCCUUCAUUUUCUAGCUAAUUCACACAAGCAGUAAUCACUUGGGUUUUUUAUCUCUGUUCAGAAUCCUUUCUAUCUUGUGGACAGAUCAGAGUCAACUGUGUUUUAGAUUCAUGCAUUUUUAAGAAUGUUCCUCCUCUAUAUGUAUACAUAUUAUUUAUAAAAAA